AGGAGGUCAGCGGGUAGGGCGGCUCGGCGACACUGACGGCGAAUCCGAGGCGAGGCGGAGGCCGCGAUGGCGAAGCGUGGAGGCAGCCAUGGCACGGAGGCGCCUCACGGUGCGACGAUUGUGACGGGGUACGGUGUGGCGCACGCGCGACGACGAAUCCAUGCCCAGCUCAUGCUCCAGUUCGUGUCGAUGUAUGUUACAGAAUCCAAAGCACCGAUACUUUAGAAAUUUGUGUAUCGCCGUUCAGUACUUCGCCGAUACUUCGAUACUUCAGAUACGCCUUCGAUAUAGGUAUCCCCAAAGUAUCGUUAUUUUCAAUUUAAAAGAAAUGGUGUUACGCGUAUUCUCAAAGUAUCGCCGUUGUAUAUUGUCCAUGCCUUGAUGUAUCGUUGAUCUGUUAAUAUGAUAGUGCACGUGGACCGUACUAAUGUAGUAGUUGGAUAAAAGUGCUUGUUAAGAAUGUUGCUUGUGCAAUUCAUUAUUUGGCCCAC
rnacentral:lncRNA from 1 species